rnacentral:rRNA from 1 species
CCUACGGGUGGCAGCAGUCGAGAAUCAUUCACAAUGGGGGAAACCCUGAUGGUGCGACGCCGCGUGGGGGAAUGAAGGUCUUCGGAUUGUAAACCCCUGUCAUGUGGGAGCAAAUUAAAACGAUCGUACCACACGAGGAAGAGACUGCUAACUCUGUGCCAGCAGCCGCGGUAAUACAGAGGUCUCAAGCGUUGUUCGGAAUCACUGGGCGUAAAGCGUGCGUAGGCUGUUUCGUAAGUCGUGUGUGAAAGGCGCGGGCUCAACCCGCGGACGGCACAUGAUACUGCGAGACUAGAGUAAUGGAGGGGGAACCGGAAUUCUCGGUGUAGCAGUGAAAUGCGUAGAUAUCGAGAGGAACACUCGUGGCGAAGGCGGGUUCCUGGACAUUAACUGACGCUGAGGCACGAAGGCCAGGGGAGCGAAAGGGAUUAGAUACCCCAGUAGUC